GGGAAGGUGGCUCAGUGGUAGAGUGUUUGCCUUACAUGCAUGAGGACCUGAGUUUGAUUCCUCAGCUCA
rfam:Dipodomys ordii contig_53542, whole genome shotgun sequence.